AAUUCUCAACCUCACCCGCUUUGUAAUGAAGACGGUGUAAGGCUUGGAUAUGGGGGGUCUUGCAUGCUGCCUUGGUGCUGGCUUGCUCUCCUGAAAUACAUUAGCGGGCUUAUACUGAGCUUCCGUAUCCCGGCGUGAUAAUUAUCUAUGCUGUGGAAUUGGACUCCGUGCUUGCUUCUAACCGUCCGAUAGGACAACAUUUGACCA
rnacentral:misc_RNA from 1 species